CUAAAAUGGUGUCUUAUUAAAACAUUAAUGUUUGAAUCGCGGUGACUGUUCAACUCAACCAAAACACAACAGUCAGUAUCUCAGCAGUCAGCAGUUUAACUUGACUACCAAAGGGUGUUUUUAACUGAAACGUAUAUAUUUCGACGACAGUUUUACUUUAUGAUAUAUCCGAUGGAAUAGAAAGCCAAAGCAGAAGUGACACUAGAACAGAUAUAACUUACAUAGAUCUGGUUCAAAGAACCGAACCCACUAAUAAAAUAAUGUCGUCGUAAAUUCCAAUAAUAGUGGUAGCUGUAGAAAAGUAGUUUUCAUACAGCGACUUAUCCAUCUAUUGUUUCCUCUAAAUUUCCGUUCUCAAAAUAGACGAAUAUGCUAUAUUAAAAUGCAAUGGCUAGUGAGGAGACUUUGUCUCUUACAAAAGUUAAAUGAAUGUGCCAAAUAAACUCAACAUAAGUUACAGGAUAAAAAUUUUGUAUUUGCACCAGACGCGCGAAUCGCCUACAAAUGACUCACCAGUGACGCUCGAAUAAAAAAAAUUCAAAAAGUGGAACCAACGGACGACGUUAAAGGGCAUUGAUGACCAAAAUUCCUAAAAGUUUAGCAAAAUACAGCUAAUAUAAUCUAUUCAUGCGGUAGAAAACCCUAAGUAUUUCAUAAAAAUCAGUUUCAAUUUUAAAUAUUAAUGUUCAUUAAAAAUAUAAUGAAUAGACGC
rnacentral:lncRNA from 1 species